GACGAACGCUGGCGGCGUGCCUAAUACAUGCAAGUAGAACGCACAGUUUAUACCGUAGCUUGCUACACCAUAAACUGUGAGUUGCGAACGGGUGAGUAACGCGUAGGUAACCUGCCUGGUAGCGGGGGAUAACUAUUGGAAACGAUAGCUAAUACCGCAUAAUAUUAAUUAUUGCAUGAUAAUUGAUUGAAAGAUGCAAUUGCAUCACUACCAGAUGGACCUGCGUUGUAUUAGCUAGUAGGUGAGGUAACGGCUCACCUAGGCGACGAUACAUAGCCGACCUGAGAGGGUGAUCGGCCACACUGGGACUGAGACACGGCCCAGACUCCUACGGGAGGCAGCAGUAGGGAAUCUUCGGAAAUGGACGAAAGUCUGACAGAGCAACGCCGCGUGAGUGAAGAAGGUUUUCGGAUCGUAAAGCUCUGUUGUAAGAGAAGAACGGGUGUGAGAGUGGAAAGUUCACACUGUGACGGUAUCUUACCAGAAAGGGACGGCUAACUACGUG
rnacentral:rRNA from 1 species